rnacentral:rRNA from 1 species
AGAGUUUGAUCCUGGCUCAGGAUGAACGCUAGCUACAGGCUUAACACAUGCAAGUCGAGGGGCAGCAUUUCUUUAGCAAUAAAGAAGAUGGCGACCGGCGCACGGGUGAGUAACACGUAUCCAAUCUGCCCUUUACUCGGGGAUAGGCUUUUGAAAGAAAGAUUAAUACCCGAUGGUAUAACGGGACCGCAUGGUUUUGU